rnacentral:rRNA from 1 species
UAAGACGAACCGUGCGAACGUUGUUCGGAAUCACUGGGCUUAAAGGGCGCGUAGGCGGGCGGUCAAGUCUGUGGUGAAAUCCUUCGGCUCAACCGGAGAAUAGCUGGAGAUACUGGCCGUCUCGAGGGGGGUAGGGGCAUGUGGAACUUCCGGUGGAGCGGUGAAAUGCGUAGAUAUCGGAAGGAACGCCGGUGGCGAAAGCGACGUGCUGGACCCUUUCUGACGCUGAGGCGCGAAAGCCAGGGGAGCAAACGGGAUUAGAUACCCCGGUAGUCCUGGCCCUAAACGAUGGGUACUAGAUUGUGGGCUAACAUGGGUUCACAGUCGAAGCAAAAGUGUUAAGUACCCCGCCUGGGGAGUAUGGUCGCAAGGCUG